GUACGCGUGGAUUGUCAACGUUAGACCAAAAAUUUUGAUGAGAAUGGUUGGCGGAAUGUUAAAAAGCUUGGAUACUUGUGCAGCCAAAGAUGAAACAACCAAAGGCCCAUGGGGCGAUAAAUACGGACUAUCUGAUUCCGAAAGAAGUGUCCGAUGUCCAUAGUCAUACUUGAAGGAUUAUUGUAGUUUUUCUUUCAUAACAGUAUUUUUAUGCUGAAGAAUUCUUUUCUCUCAGCCAAUCUUUCAAAAUGUGUGAUGAAGUGUCCCAACUGAUUGUACCAUCCCCCCUGAAUGUGUUCAUUUUUGAUGUUGGACUUUUGUGUUUGUGUCUUCUGUGUGUGUGUUCAUUUGUGUCAUCUUCUGAACUACUGCUGGAUGAAGACCUUAAAGAUGAGUCAUAAGAAGAUGAUGAUGAAGAAAUAUGUCGUGACUGUCUGUGUGUUUUUCUUCCCCUAUUUGCAUGAUCAUUUUGUCUGUGCCUGAAAUCGUGUAAUUUCUCUUGCAAUUCGUGUUUGACUGGUGCAUGUUUUGGGGUGUAAAUUCCGUCUGCUGGAAUUGCAUCUAACAACUUUCUUUGUUUUCUUUGUUCGUCUAAUUCAUGUUCUACUUUCAUUCUUCUCUCUCUCUCAAGCUGUAGCUCUGCACUAAGACUACUUAAUGUAACAUCUAAUCCCUCUCCUCUCAUUUUCGUGAUCUAAAUCAAAUGUAUCUUGAUCUUUAGAACCAAAUGAAACAAGACCUUUCUUUUCCCACUCUACCCAUUUUUUCUUUGAAAUAUUUGUGUAUUUUGCCAAAAUGAUCAUGAUUGGGUCUAAUUGCGAGACAUUUUUUCUGACAUUUAUAUUGUCCUCAACGUCGUAACAGGUAAUUGGUAAUUCUGAAAUUUCGAAUUCUGAAGCAGAUUGCAAAUUUAUUGUGCCCAUUGCUUGCAUUUCAUUGUACUGUUUAAUUAAUAAGCCUAUACAUAAACGGACAAAAGAGCAAAGAGGAAACGGAUACAAAAAGAAAAAAAAACCGAAACAAUAAGUUUAACUUGUUGUGUAAACAACCGUCAAACUAUAUUUGAUAAACGAAAAAUCCUAAUAAAGAACAAAAGGGGAAAAAAACCGA